CAUCGUCUCUCUCAACUCACCCCUCUCUUUAGACUCUUUAGAGACUCUCCCAACCAAACCCUAAGCGCCACCCUAAUUUUUCACCGCCUUAGCCAGCGGUGCCACCCCCAAAUGAUCCCAAAUCAACACCAUAGAACCACCAUGACCUCCUCAGUCCAAAUCUCUGAUUGGUUUCCCUCGAAUCUUCACCAGACCCGUCGAAUCUGGGUUUGAAGAUGAAUCCUAAAAAUCCAAGAAAAACAAAAAUUGAGUUUAUGUUAAAAUUUCUAGUCUAAUUUGAUUUUAUUCGUGUGUUCUUGAUAAGAACACACGAUUAACAUCAAACUUGGCCGGAACUUGGAAGAUUUGAAGACUCAUUCUGAUUCUUUGCUAUCCGGGAUAUUUUCAUGUAUUUUUUCUUCUUCUUCAUUCUGUCUUCUGUUUAUUUCUCCUCCUCUCGAUUCCUUUUUAGUUUUUUUAGUUGUCUCUAGAAUCGUUUGUUUAUGCAUGUUAGUUUUAAACUUAUUUCUUUAAUUAGUGCAUUUAGUCUGUUAAUUAGGUUAGUUUCAAUUUGUUAAUUUAGUUCAUUCUAGUUCAUUAGUUGGUCAGUCAUUUAAUUAGAUUUUGAAAUUAUCCGAAUUUCUUCUGUUUUUGCUUUUUCCUCAAAUAAUUUGGUUCUGAUUAUGUUUGGGCCUUGGGUUCAUGCCUUUAGGUUCAAGACUUAAUUUAGGCUAAUAGAUUCUGGUUUGAGUCUUGGUUUUGAUUCAACACAGUUUGGUUUCUGAAAGAAAUUUUCAGGGGUUUGAGGGGUAGUUUGGGAAAAUUGGAUAAAGGAAUCUCUGAAUAACAAAAUAAGAAGCUGGGAUGGGGGCUUAUAUGAAAUUGUGAUAUUUAAACUAGGGAUUUCUAAGCAAAGACAAAAAUUUCAAAAGGCUCUAAGUGCAAAAUUAAUUUCUUUUUAGGCUGCCCUAGAACCUUACCUAUAAAGGCAUCAUAACCUGACAUUCAAGUAAAAAAAAAGAGAUAAAAAUCAUUUAAAAAUUGAAACAACUUCUUCCUUGAAGAAAUUCAUAAAUAACUUAGAAUUCCCUGUAUUUUUCUGGUUGAAAACUACUCAGGAUUUGCUGGUGUUUGGUUUCCUGAUCCUCAUUGCUUAGUUUAAGUUGCUGAAAAUGACUACGUCUUGCAUUUGGGUCGAAUUGGUUUGAGUUUUGGAAUUUUUCCUUAAGUUAGGGUUGUAUUUGGCUGUGGUUGUACUGUUCGACUGAAAUAGUUGCAUCAUUUUGGGUUUAAAAUUGUUUCUGGUUGUUAUUUCCUAUUGCUGGGUUCUGCUUUGCUAUUGAUUGGUUGCUGAUUUCACACUUCUUUUUCCUUUCAAUUUCCAAGUAUUUCUUUAGCAUUAUGGACAUCACCUAAGUGUAAUAUGGAGUUUGGGAUUUGAAAAUGUGACAAACUGAUGUUAUUGUUAAUUGAAUUUCAUUUCUUCUUCCUUCCAUCUCGUCUAUGAUUGUAAUAUGUCGCUCUAGAGAUAUUUGAUUAGUAUACUACUCGUGAAUGGGGUUGUGAUAUUAAACUGGAGCUUUAAGUGGUUUUGAUUCUUCUGCUUGGUUGUUAGAUUGGCUUAAGCCUGGCUGAGCUUAAAGGAAUGCUUGAUUACAUUUUACAUUACUUUUAGGCCUAGGUUGAAUGGUUUAUUGACAUUUGAAUGAUAUGGUAUCAGACUCGUUGUCUUAAAAUCACUUUGGUUAAUGUCGACUCUCAUGUCCUGCUAAUCUGAGUCUUAGUUGUUGUUCAGGCCUUCAUGUUGUUGCUUGAGUUGGUUUGUUCUUACUUAAAAAUUAAAAUCACAUGUUGUGUAAUUUCUAAAGAACUGGUUAUUCCUUUUUAUUGCCAUAAAAUCAUGUCAUUAUUACCAUCUUCUGUAAUUGUCAAUUGAGCAUUCAAAGAAUGAUUUAAGUCUUGUUGCAUAUACCAUAGUGCCCUUGUUGGCAGGGUUCACGUGGAUACCCCCCUGAAAUUUUGGAUCCCGUGGAAUUUUGUUUCAGAUCCUAAAGUUUUGGAGCUUAGGAUCUUCAGAGACUUGAUCGCUAGGCAAUAUGUGUUAAUGUCCUUUCUCUUGUUAAACUCGGGCUCGAUCUGGGCCCCGAACCUCAAAAGUAUUGGGAAAAUAGGAAAUGGCAAGCCUUGUCACAUGAGUAUUGUCUCGCUGAUGGCCGUUGUUGGCCCAAUUUCUUCUAAUAACUGGCCCAAUUUCCCUAUUGUUACAAAUUGGUCAAGUCUCAUUUUAUAAAAUGGAUUUGAGAAUUUCUUUUGCCCUUUAAUCAAUUAGCCAAAUCCUUUUAAUAAUUGAGGUGAGUCAUAUUAUAUAAUAUAAAUAGUUUAUGGCCCUCAUGAG
rnacentral:lncRNA from 1 species